rnacentral:lncRNA from 1 species
AGAAGACAGUAGCGAAGAAACGGAGAGGAAGGAAGUAUUAAGGAGAGUAAGGUGCGUGUGUGUAUUAAAGAGUGAUUGUGGGGAUGAGUGAGAGUGAGGGAGAGAGAGAGAGAGAGGAGGUUCAGGUGUGCUUGUAUUCUUGUAUACUUUAUAUGUGUGUGUGUGUAUGUACACGAAUCAUUGCGUGUAUGCGUGUAUAUGUGUGAGAGCAUUUGUGCAUGAGUGCGUACCUGUGUGCAUGUAUGUGAGCGUAUAUAUAUAUAAAUAUAUGCGUGUGCGUGCGUGUAUGUGUAUAAGUGCGAGAAAGAGACUGUGUGUAUGUGCGUGUGUUUGUUUGUGUGUGUAUCUAUGUGUGUGUUUGUUUAUGAGCGUGUGUGCGAUUAUGUGUGUGUGUGCGCUUGUGCGCGUGCGUUUGUGUGUGAGUGUGCGUGUAUCUGUGCGUGAGUGUGUGCAUGUGUUUGAGUGUUUGUGUGUGUACGUGAGUUUGUAUGUAAGUGUGUGAGUGCGUGCGCUUGUGCAAGUUUGUGUGCGUGUGUUUGUGUGUGAGCGUGUGUGCGCUAAUGUGUGUGUGGGCUUGUGCGUGUGCGUUUGUGUGUGAGUGUGCGUGUAUGUGUGCUUGUGUGUGUGCAUGUGUUUGAGUGUUUAGGUGUGUGCGUGAGUGUGUAUGUAAGUGUGUGUGUGCGUGUGUGUGUGUGUGUGUGUGUGUGUGUGUGUGUGUUUGUGUUUGUGUUUGUGCGUAUGCUUGUGCGCGUGUGUAUUUGUGUCUGUGUGUACUGAAUGAAACGAAAUGGUGAGAAUGAUGCAGAGGAGAAGGGAGAGUAGAACGCGUGGAUAACAACAAUGAUGGAGAGUAAGGCGAAUGAGGGGAGUAAGGCUGUGCUUGUGAGUGAGGGAGAGGAAACUUGGAGCAAAGCAACCGGUCAGGCAGCGGAGAGAGAGAGAGAGGGAGGGAGAGACAGACAGACAGAGGGAAAGAGUGAGAGAGAAGUAUAGAGAGAGAGAGAGAGAGAGAGAGAGAACAAGACGAAGUGAGAGUGACAGAGUGAGUGAGUGAGACAGAGAGAGAGAGAGCAGUAAAACGGCGAGAGACGGCCAAUGUAAUGCUGCUGGUUGCCCAACUCAACAACACAACUGUUGCAAACGGUAAGCUUCGGAAUUUUUUCUAUUUCCAUCUCUCUAUCGCAAUGUUUCCGUCUUCAGACUCCAUGCUUUUCAGCGACGAUUCUUCUAACCGCAUUGUUAUGAUGAUGAUGAUGAUAAUGAUGAUGACCACGUUGAUGAUGAUGAUGAUAAUGAUGAUGUUGAUGAUGAUGAUGAUGAUGAUGAUGAUGAUGAUGAUGAUGAUGAUGAUGAUUAUUGAUAGAUGUACUAAUGUUAUUUGUUUUAAAGCCGUGUGUGCAUGUGUACGUAAAGUAUGCACGUACAUGUGUGAGGAGCUUGUGUGUAUGUGUAUGUUCAUGUCUAUCUGUCUGUCUAUCCAUCUAUCUAUCUAUCUAUCUAUCUAUCUAUCUAUCUAUCUAUCUAUCUAUCUAUCUAUCUAUCUAUUUAGCUGUCUGUCUGUGAUGUAUGUAUACGGGUGCUUAUAUGCAUAUAAAUAUGUACACACACACACACACACACACACACACACACACACACACACAUAUAUAUAUAUAUAUAUAUAUAUAUGAGUGUAUGUUGUGUGUAGGAAUGAGUGUUUGUCACUGUCUGUACGUGUGUAUAUAUAUGUCUGUCUUUUGUCUGUCUGUAAGUAAUCAUGUUUGUAUGUUUGUAAAUAUGUGUUUGUAUGAUUGUGCGUCUAUGUCUGGCUGUCUGUCUCGCUCUACAUAAAUGUGUAUAUAUAUAUAUGUAUGUAUAUAUAUGUGUGUGCGUGUGUACGUAUAUAUAUGUGUCUGUAUAUACAUGUGUGUGUAUGUAUAUAUUUAUAUAUACUUUGAUACACGGACAUACAUGUAUGUAUGUAUGUAUGCAUGUAUGUAUGUAUGUAUGUAUGCAUGUAUGCAUGUAUGUGUGUGUAUGCAUGUAUGCAUGCAUGUAUGUAUGUGUGUGUAUGUAUGUAUGCAUGUAUGUAUGUGUGUAUGUAUCUAUGUGUAUGCGUGUGUGGGUAUGUAUAUAUAUAUCAAAACAUUGUACGUUGCUGUCGAAAACAAAGCGGCGCUUCGUAGUUUUGUGUGGGAAAGGCAUGCACAUCACACAUUCUGUUCUUUAUUAUGAAUUUCUAAUAUCCUAGUAACACCUUUUUUUGUCACUGUACCUGCCGGGGGUACCCAGGGUGGUUUCGUUUAGCGGAAACCUUUGACAUGGUUUCGAACACGUGAGCUGGCACCAGUAAAUGGUUCACCAAUUCCACUGUGCGCAGUAGUUCCUGGUGUUGUCUGUUCCAAUAAAAGACACCACACGUGUAAUGCUCUUUAAAAUAACACUAGGAGAUGGGGAGGGUCACCACCACCACCACCUCCAUCACCAUCACUAUCACCAUCACCAUCACCAUCAUUAUCACCAUUAUUGUUUAUGUGUCUCCUUGGUGAUAACACCAAUAACCAUAGUACCAUUAUUACCACCACCACCACCACCACCACCACCAAUACCACCAGGCCCAUCAUUGCCUUCCCGCCAUCACUAUCACCGCAACAGUCACCCCCAUCCCCCACUCGACCAACUCCACUACCACUAGCUGAUCCCUAUCAUUCUUUCCACCAUCACCACCACCACCGCCGCAACCACAUACCGCCACAACCUCCACACUACAACAAAUACUGCAAUACGACCACCACGAGGAUAGCAACAGCCACCACUACCUGCACAGCAACCUGUAUCACUACAACAGCAACAACAACAAUACUCACUACCACUUCAACAAUAACCACAACUACCGCAUGCUGUCACGGAUAUGACUGCGUUUAACAAUUUCUUUUCAUACUUACAUGGUUUCAAGAUCGAUCCUAGUGUACGUCGCCUUGUUUGGUUCGACCAGUGAGUCGUGGAUGGACUUUGAUAGAGAGAAUCUGUGAGGGCGUGACUGUUCGUGUUGUUGAGCGGUGGACUUAAUUCCCCCUCCCAUUACCCUUACCCUUUUCUGAUGUCCACUCAGGUGCAAAUAUUCGAGCCAGGUGACCAUCCCCCACCACCCUAAAGCUGGGAUACACGGAAAUAAGGACAUGUAUGGAGGUCAUCCUCUUCUUAAUUACGUUCAGAAACAAUCACCAUCAUCAUCAUUACCAUCAUCGUCGUCAUCCCCCUCCUCCUCGUCAUCAUCGCCAUCAUCAUCACCAUCGCCAUCAUCAUCCUCACCACCAGCGUACACGCACACACUCACUCACACACACGUGCACGGGCGCGCGCGCAGAGCAGCACUAUGCACACAUGACCCCAUCAACACCACAAACCCUCACCGACACUGUCAUUCAAUUCACCACAACCACCCAAAACUACCACCCGUACACCUGUCCCGCACAACCACUAGACACACGCCAACACCAACACAAAGAUCAUCAACAUUACUACCAGGCGCAACACACACACACACACACACACACACCGCCACAAAUACCACCACCACCACUACUACUACUACCUCCACCAUCAUACAACAGUUAAUUUUAUAAAGACUACCAACAACACCUCUGCACAGUGUUGCUCCCUGACAGUGAUGUCAUACCAAUUGUUAAACUCGAUAUGUUAAUGUAUGUGUGUAUAGUUGGACCCCAAUAUAUUCAUGAUAUUGACAGAUCAAUUAACACGGAACACAGCUAUAUUUAAUAUAUGUUAAUAUCACCAUGUCCACCGUGACCGACCAGGCUAUCAAAUGUUGCUACACAUCGCUGGUUACAAUGCGCUUCGCAUAGUUUUAGCCUUCAAAUGACGCCACCCCGCUGGCUAAGGGAACUGGCCAACAGAAGAAAGAGUGACGAAAGAGUACAGCAGGGAUCGCCACCCUCUCCUGCCGGAGCCUCGUGGAGCUUUAGGUGUUUUCGGUCAAUAAACACUCACAACGCCCGGUCUGAGAAUCGUAACCGUGAUCCUACAACCGCGAGUCGCUGCCCUAACCACUGGGACAUUGCGCCUCCACAUAUGUUAAUAUAUGUGUGUCUAUAGCUGGAAGCCCUUGAUAUAUCACUUCUAUUGACAUCACUAAAGAGUUAUUUUUGAUAUCAGGUCUUUUUCCUCCAGCAUGACGAUGAUAGAUGUUACGGUUGUUGUGUAACACACAUCAGCCAUGACCCCUUACAGAGUCACAAUCAAAGGCACUCCAAGCAUAGUCAUUCCACUCAAUGUAGUCCUAAGAGUAUCUAGGGAUACAUUAUCCAAUGUGUCUUAGCCUUUUUUUGUUUUAAUACGGUUGGGUGGUUUCUGGAGGUCACUGAGUCAUUUUGUACUGGCAACACCCAGAACAAUCUGUUCGGGGUUAGCUUGUCAGCGUCUAAACCUGGUUGAUAAAUAAGGGGUUUUCUGGAGACCCUACCAUGACACAGGAGAGCCAAUAAUCAUCCAAUAUUUUGUCUAUAUAACCAAGACGAAAGUAAAUAUUGUUAGUCAGUAGAAAGGUGUCAUCUAACAACGUCGUUGUGAGACGCCCAUCUAAGGAUACAGUGAGCCACAUAGAAAUAACACUGGCCAUUCCACAUCAUCACUGAUUUAGUCCCAGUCGUCUACCAACCUUGCUACCCUUCUAGGAAAUGAAAUGUGAGAGGGUGAGGUUGGUCAGCCAGUGAAGCCCUUCCUCAAAAUGCAUUCAAGUUCAGCACAGGUCAAAAUUCGAACUUCUUCAAACCCCAAAUAGACGUUGAAACUUUGGUUGCUGUAGCCAGGGUAUCGCAAGCAUCUGAUACAAUUAAAUGCCACUACUUCUACAGUUUCCAUGUGCUGGGAGUGUAAUGGGAACGGGAGCCUCUGUGAAGAAUCUCCAGUCGCCGAUACAAAUGCAUGCUCCAUUGUUUCGGUGCAGGAGACCGAGAGUUUUUCAUUUUCGAAAAUAAGGGACAGAUUACUCACAACAGGUCAAAUCAAGAGCUUCUGGCAUCGGUGGGAGCAGCCUAGCACUGACGAAAUCUUCUUAAUAAUAUUGUUGUGUGUGUGUCUGUGUUUACUGUUUAAAACGGCUACUUUUAUUCUUGUUAUUGUGUCACUUUAUGUAACUAGCGCUUGGACAAGUACCCGGGUGGAUAUUGGUCGACUAAACUGUUGAAGCAGUGCUCCAGUAUAGCCAAAGACCAAUGAAUAAAACCAUUCAAAAAAUACAAAAUAUAUUAUAUAUGUAUAUACCUAUGUGCAUCUUAUUUACACCCUCCCCCCCGCCUCACACACAUGAAUAUAGAAUGUUGCGUUGAAAAACUCUUUGGAUGGAAAAAGUCAAAGGUUGCCAUUGGAUUCGAAUUUACAUUUUCUGCGAACAUGUGAGAUAUGCCACCAUUACACCAAAGCAGCAUAUCAAAUUGUUUCCAUCCAUUCUAGAAGCUUUGUUUUUGUCGGUUUUAACCCAUCAUUUUAAAUGCUGUUGUUCAUUCCUUUAACUGUUUCUUCUUCCAAAGUUAAAAGCAAUUUAUUUCACAUCUUUCGAAGUUUCUAUAAUUCUUAUCACACACACACACGCAUACACACACACUCACACACACACACAUACACACACACACAUUUACCUAUCUCUAUCUGCCUGCCUCUCUCUCUCUCUCUCUCUAUAUAUAUAUAUAUAUAUAUAUAUAUAGGGAGAGUUUACGAAAACAACAAAAGACGAAGACAGGUGGUGUACAAAACAAACAGAUGUAUUAGUAUAACGCUCAGGAAUAGAAAAAGUCUUUUACGUUUCGAGCCUACGCUCUUCUACAGAAAGGGACACAGAAAAAAACGAGAGAAAAGAAUGUGUGUAGUGGCUAACGAUCUAUCAUAAACUCAUAUACAUACAUACAUACAUACAUACAUACAUACAUACAUACAUACAUACAUACAUACAUACAUGCAUGCAUACAUACAUACAUACAUACAUACAUACAUACAUACAUACAUACAUACAUACAUACAUACAUACAUACAUACAUACAUACAUACAUACAUACAUACAUACAUACAUACAUACAUACAUACAUGCAUACAUACAUACAUACAUAAAACAUACAUACACAUACAUACAUACAUGCCCUCUGAACACCAGCGUUGUUGGAAGAAUACAAGGGAAUGAAGACAUUUGUUGAUUAUUGUUAACAAGUUUGCAAAUCCAGGAUCCAAGAUACACUUUCAACUUCAUACUUAUUAUUAUUGGAGCAACAGGAUACAUACCGACCAGUCUGGAACAAAAUAUGGCUGAACUUGGGAACUUGACAUCUUGAGAACUUGUGAUCUUGGGAACUUGGGAUCUUGGGGAGAGAACGCAGAUCCUUAAUUUAUGUACUACAAAUCCUCAGUUUGUACACUACAAAUGAUCCCGAUAAAAAUGUGCACGCCCUUAAGAUUUAAAGGAUCAUGAGCGAAACAAGAAACUUUCUUUCACAACCUUGCAACCAAAAUUAGCAAAUAUGACCUGCUAACAUAUCCGUUAAUUGUUUUAGACGCUUAUGUUGGGGUGAUGGUCACUGUCUCGAAAAGCAAGGAUGGAUGCGACAGCUGGAAGCAGCAAGGGCUGUACCUGCAAUCAGGUUCAGGGACACCACAGCACCGCACAGCCCCUAGAAUCGAAUCACUAAUCUUAUGAGCGUGAGAGCAAUGUCACUAAUCAUGCGUGCGUAUGUGUGUGUGUGUGUGUGUGUGUGUGUGUGUGUGUGUGUGUGUGUAUGUGUGUGUGUGUGAGUGUAUAAGUGAGUGUGUGUGUGUGUGUGUGUAGCACAAAAUUACCAUUAUUAGGAGGGUUGAAGUUUAAUCUGUAAAGGUGGCAGCGAUUUCAUUAAUUGUGAAUGUAAUGAGAGAUUUUGAUGAUAAAAGAUUUAUAAAGUGUUGGCGGUUGUAUUUUCGGCCUCGUCAUUGUUCAGAGCUUAAAGCCUUUCUCUUAAGGCUGAACCAAAUCUCAUUGAUGAAGAUUUAGUAAUGCUGAGAACAUAAGUCUUUUAGGGAAUAUCAAUGGCAAUAAGUUAGGGCGUGGUAGGGGCAGUUUAUCUUUGAAGAUCACUGCCCGAUCAAGCUCACCUUUCCGUAAACAAUUGCUUAUUCACCUUUUACACACAUUAAUAUAAAAUUGACAUUUACAUGUAUAUUUCACUUAUUCCCUCCUCUCCCUUUCCCUCUCUCUCUCCUUCUGGUUUACUGUUUAGCUGUCCGUCUGUCUGUCUGUCUGUCACUCUAAUUCUAUGUGUGUCUAUGAAAAUGUACGUACAGGCACAUGCAUUGGAUAAGAGUGUGUGUGUUUUAUUAUAUCAUAUGCAGGUACAUGUACACACACACACGUGUAUGUGUGUGAAGGCGCAUGGCAUAGUGCUUAGAGCGUCAGGCUCACAAUCAUGCGGUAGUGAGUUCGAUUCUAGGACUUGGCUGUGGGUCGUGUUCUUGAGCAAGACACUUUAUUUCACGUUCAUUCAG